rnacentral:rRNA from 1 species
AAUCAACGCUGGCGGCGUGCCUCAGACAUGCAAGUCGUACGAUUAAAGCUCUCUUCGGAGAGUGUAUAGAGUGGCGCACGGGUGAGUAACACGUAAGUAAUCUACCUUCGAGUGGGGAAUAACAGUCGGAAACGACUGCUAAUACCGCAUAAUGCAGCGGCACCUAAUGGUGACAGUUGUUAAAGCAUUUAUGUGCUUGAAGAGGAGCUUGCGGCAGAUUAGCUAGUUGGUAAGGUAAUGGCUUACCAAGGCAACGAUCUGUAGCCGACCUGAGAGGGUGGUCGGUCACACUGACACUGAAUAACGGGUCAGACUCCUACGGGAGGCAGCAGUCGGGAAUUUUGGGCAAUGGGCGAAAGCCUGACCCAGCAACGCCGCGUGAGUGAUGAAGGCCUUAGGGUUGUAAAGCUCUUUCAGCGGGGAAGAUAAUGACGUUACCGCAGAAGAAGCCCGGCUAACUUCGUGCCAGCCGCCGCUGUAAU